rnacentral:rRNA from 1 species
UACAGAGGCCUCAAGCGUUGUUCGGAUUCAUUGGGCGUAAAGGGUGCGUAGGCGGCGUCGUAAGUCGGGUGUGAAAUCUCGGGGCUUAACUCCGAAAUUGCAUUCGAUACUGCGGCGCUUGAGGACUGGAGAGGAGACUGGAAUUCACGGUGUAGCAGUGAAAUGCGUAGAUAUCGUGAGGAAGACCGGUGGCGAAGGCGGGUCUCUGGACAGUUCCUGACGCUGAGGCACGAAGGCCAGGGGAGCAAACGGG